AAUGUUAAUUUUUAAACCUAUUUAACAAUCCUUCUUGAAAACGUUCCCCUCCUUCCUCAUUCGUGUGCAAAUUGCACUGGCCAGUGGCCGGACAUUUUCUAUCAACCUUUCAAUUCCUCUAUUAAACCGAUCACUGCUUACCUUCCUCGAAUCACAAAAGCCCAGGAAUCAACGACCUCAAAUCCUCGUCAGCCCAAGCCGGAUCACGUAGGACCCGGCGAGAGUGAGGGAUAGCUCGCCGAUGAAGAAGCUUGCCUUUUUUCUCAUUCCAGUGCCAAAGUUAUAGCUUCACGAGGAACCGUGAUUUCCGUAGGGAAAGCUUUGGGGUAUUAGAUUUUGACUGGAUGAAACAAGUGUAGAACAACAGUAUCGGUGUUAGAGUUCUAAUUUAUGAUUAGAGGGAUAUAACUAAGGUUUAUACACUCACUUUUGUAUUUGUUAUUGUGUGGCUGUGCACACAGAUCAGCGUGUGGCCACCCACUAGUGACUAUACUGUGUUAAUAGAUUAUGCAAUUUAGACUAAUUUAAAUUGUGGAUUUGUUGAAGACUUGGAUUUGAAUGAUGUACUUAAUUGAUAUUAUUAAGUCUAUAUGAAUUUGGAUGUAAGUAGAAUAGUAUAUUAGAGAACAGGUUUCAAAUCGAGCACCAGGGAUUGGGGAUGAGGGUUGGAGGCUGAAAGAUUUGAUUAAUGAUUUAAAUUAUAAGUGUAAUCACCAAGUGAAUAAAGGCAGAUUUGAGGCUCGAUUAUGGCUUGCCUCAGGACGCACAACUUUGAUUGUGAUCUUAGACUCUAACUUUAGCAAGCAAUGCAUAUCACCUGAACAUUCUAGUCCCAUAAGACCAAACUAAGACUGUUGGUUUGGAUUGUGGCAGACAGCAUAAAAGAACUCAAGCUCCCAUAUGGACCUUAAAAAAAUUUUGGCUUUUGAAAUAUUAUCUGCUAGUUAAAGCUUUUGGUUUAAGAUAUCCUGAUAACUAUAUAAGAUCGAAAAAUACAAUCUACCAUAAGUUUUAAACCAAUAAGUACUGAACUAUGAUCAUGCAUGACGUGCUUGCUUGGACACAUUCUUAUGUAAAAAGGCAGUGUUCAUUUACUGUGGAUUUUUCUGAGUAUGAUUUGCUAAUUGAGUAGUCACAGCUAUGGACAAAAAGGAUUAGCACAGACUUGCCGUACUCUACCUCUUCUUUCUAAAAACUUUCAUGUUGUAAAUAUCAAUAUGUCUGGUUAUUCUCUUUUCAAUUUUAACCACAGGAUAUGUAGACCACAAUGAUGUCUUCAAGUUAGGUACUGGCACUGCAUCCAUAUGUGGCUUUCUGAGGUUUGAAUUUUCUGGUGGAAGUCUUUUGGCAACUGUUGGCUCCAACUGAGUAAGUCAAUGAUCUUUUUUAUUCUGUCCUGGGAAAUCCUACUAUCACUAUUAUAUUUGAACUUGCCAUUGUCUCUUGGAAUAAUGAAAAUAAAUAUUCUUGUGUGACUAACCUCAUGGUCACUUAAAAAAAACAUAUGGUCACGCACACAUGAAUCGGGACUAAAUAUGUUCUUGGGAAGUAAUUUUCUCGCUCCUUGGAUUUUUUGUUAGGUUGUGCCACUUAUAGCAUUGUUUCCCUUCCAUUAGCAUUGCCUGAUCGUGAAUGCAUGCUCAUUUUAUAAUUUCUUCAUUCAGUUAACUUAAACAUGUUUAAAUGGGUUUGUCACUCUUUUUUUUUUUACUUGCACCGGGAGAAAAGGUUACCAUAUCAAUCCCCUCCCUGGCCAGAGAGCCUCCAAGACAAGGGGGCGGCGGUAAACCAUCCACUCUCGAGAUUCAUAUUGAUCAAUCGAUCUUUGCAUCCUGCCAAUAUUUUCAGUCAUCAAUAUCAUACAUGUGCGAAAUAUUUUAUACGAUUUCACCUAUAUUACUCCCAGCUUCUCCAUAGAACUUGCUUAUAUAUAAAAUCAGAUAUUUGCUUACCCAUGAGUGUAGACUUCAUUCAAGAAUUUGAUCUAGCUUCCAAUUUUACUCCUUGUGUUUUACUUUGCUACUUCUUCUUCUUCUUCUUCUUUUUGCCUUUUUUCAUUAUGUUUUAGACAUUUGGGUAACAUAUCAAAUAUGUUUUAGACAUAUGGGUAUAUCAGAAAAAAUACAAAUGUUCUGGCCUAAACUUGCCAACUAAAUUUAUUGCACAAUUUGCCUGCCAAAAUAUGCCAGCCACCUUGUGCUUUGGCUUCCCAGUAUUGCCAGUUCUAUUUCCAAAUUUCAGGCGUAUAAUUUCUAAGUUGGCACCUAUAUGUAUUAUGAUGUGAUUAGGCCACCAGGCCUUAAUCUUGUCCCUUCAUCUUUUUGUUACAAGCUCAAUAUUUGGUCUAAUGGUUCUCAUUUCAUCUUGCCAGGAAUAGUUUUAUUAGUGCUAAUAUCAUAUUGAAUCAUCUUUUUCAGCACUGAUGAAAUGGUUUGUAUCAUUUUGAUGUUUAAACAAGUUCAGUUAAGCUCAAACUGAGAGUGAAAGUUUGACUUCGAUAGUUUUCCUUUCAAUCUUGCUAUUGGUCAUGCUCCAUUAUGUCAUGUUCUAGAAUUCAGUUAUUUAUAAUCUUGGCCAAAUACUUGUGUCCAAUGUGCUCACUUAAUCAUCAGUUUCCAUAUUAUAAACCUUGAGAUCUCAGUGAGCAUGAGACAUUUAAAGAUUCAUUAGGCACAAGCUACCUGCCAUGACUUGUUUCUAAGAGUUCCCAACUUAUCACCCCUUUUUCUUAAACAACGUUUAGAAGUCGUUUACUAUGGCUUUACUUGCUUUCAUUCUUGUAAUGGCCCAUAAUGAUUAUAAAAGGUUCCAUGGGAUUUUUACAAGGCCAGUAUUAAUAUCAAGGCUUCAUUAAGCACCAUGCCCAAACUUGGGGCAUCACAGAUGUGCUUGACUUUUGGUAGUCGAGUAGCUUUAACCUUCUUAUGGUGUGGUAGUCUUGUAGCAUCAUUGUUAGUGAGGGUACAAGGUGCCUUGCUGCCCUACAGUGUUUUUCAGAAUAAGAAGUGAAGUGCGAGUCUUAAAGGGCAUGCUUUGAAAGUAUGAUAAAUGAAUCUAAUAGCAACAGCGCUUGAACAAAGCUGGUGCACAUAAAAGGCAGAGAGAGCUAGAGGAUUAUAGAUGCAUGACAUCAAAUCCAACUAUUCAAAGACAUGGCUUCAAAAAACAUACUCAAAAUUAAAAAGCAUGCAUGCAUUAUAAAAUAAAAAUAAAAAAUGAAUACUCCUAGCAUGUGAAAUUCAAAAUAGUAAUGCAGUUGGAAGAAAGGAAUGGAGGUAGUUUGCAAUUACUCUUUCAUCUACUUUAAGGUGGAAAUAAGUUAGGGUCUUUAUUUGUGUACUAUAAGUGCAUUUUCUUAUAUUUUUCGUUUAAAACCUAAAAAAGACGGAUGUUGUAAGCUUGCAUGUAAUGCACACCAAAAUAACAUAGUAAGAAAUACUUGACAUGGCUAUAAAAAUAAAAUAAAAUAAAAUAAAAAUUAAAAAAAAAAAAAAAACCUAGGGAAUAUUACACUUUACUCCACUAAAUCUUCAAUCCCCCCCCCCCCCCACCCAAAAAAAAAUUCUACCAUUCUUUUUUAAUUUGCUCUCUCCUUUAAGAUCCAAUCCUUAAAAUCAUGCCACAUCACCUAUUUUCAUCUACCUUAAUGAACAAGUCUUAUUGGGGGAGUAAAUUGCACCGUAGGUCUCAAAAUGAGAGCUCUGCUAACAACUUUGGCGGUCAUAUUGGAAAAUGAGAGGUAAUUUACAGUUAUCAAGUGCAAUUUUCCCAAGAAAUCAUGAAGUAUCAAUUGAUAUAACAUUGUAACUAAGCAUGCUCUUUUGUGACUUGUUCUUCCUGAAAAAGCGUUUGCUUUUCCAACAAGCUGGACCUGAUUAAAGAUGCUUUGCCUGGCACUCAAAGUGCUUCAUGUCCACUUAGAUGCACUCUGCACAAGUACGACUAGGCAUGCUUUUAGUGACCCGGUAGAUGUAAUCAAGAUGGAACACAACAAAUGUGGACAGUGGUAAAACUGGCAAUCUAUUUAGGUAUUAGAUGUUAGUAAUAUGCUCUUCGUGUACGUAUGAGAAUUUCUUCGACUAAAAUAUGAGGCCAUGCAUGUUAUUGACAUAGAAAACAUGGCGAUUUUUUUCACUCUUGUAUGGUUAAGAGGGUUGGUUUUUGUGUGCUUACAUGAAUCUUGUUUUCCGUAAGUGGGGUUUUUGUUUUUAUUGCAAGAUAUAUUGAUGCUAUCAAAAAGGUUUUAGAGGUACCUUUCUCUUUCCUUUUUUCUUUUGAAAAAGAAAAGAAAAUAAAAUCAUGGGAAAGUUCAUUUGCAACUGAGUAUGCUCCAUGCUACUUUAACUGCUUUCUCAGUACUUGAAAAAAUGUCAUUUUGGUUGUCAGUUGUCACCUUUUUCUUUGGCAUGUUCUGUACGCACAAUUAUUUUCAUGGUUGUUGCAAAUGCUGAAGACCAAAUUGUUAGCAGUAGCUGUUUGUCACAGGAACGUAGUUUAAAUUUCCUAUAUCUUUAAGGUCAGGGUUUCUGUCAGGUAUGUAGUCCUUUAGUUUUAACCUUUUUUCCAUCUUCAUUCCAAGAUAUUCUUCUGAGAAAUUUAAUUCCGACUGUAAACACAAAAAGCAACAGCACUGAAAGUAAAAAUGAAAGAAAUUAGUUUGUAGAACACAAGCACGGACACCGGAUAUACCUUGUCAUUUUGAGAUAUAUAAUUGCGCCAGGAAGAAGAAACAUGUAGCUGUGUAGUUGUGGCAUGAUAUAUAUAUGUAUAUGUAUGUAUAUAUAUGUGAUGAUUCCACGAACUGGUGGCUUGAGUAUAGUGCAGAUGAUAUUAGUUCAUUGCAUGUGGGUUGAUGGAGCAACAGGCUUGUUGAUUUGCUGCAUUCUAGUUUCCCAUAAACGAUCAAUUUUGGACUGGUGUCGCGAAUGAAUGGCAAAUGAUAGAUGUCUUUUCAGAGGUGGAUAAAAGUUCAAACUAUUUUGUCUUUAUUAUCUUUGGACAACGGAAAUGAUGGCGCCAAUGGCAGGAGGUGGAUGCUUUCUGCAGGUUAAAGUUGCCAUGAAUAGAAAGUGGAGCAGAAAGAUGGACUGAAGUUCGAUAUUAGAUCUAGACGCAACUUAUAGUCUCUUGUGAAUGCCUCUUGAGAUGGCGAAGAUAAACUAGGAGUUAGUUCAUGUAUUGAACAUUAAAAAGGAGAUUUAACUUCUCUAAAGCACCAUAAGCUCAUUUAAGCUAAGAAUGGGUUUUUUCCCCGUCUCAAUGGAAAACCAAAAUUUCGCCCCACAAGAAUUUCUAACCUAUGCUUUGGUUGGAAGAUUCAGAAAAUAAAUCUUACGACAGUUGACAUAAAUAUUGUACAUCCAAGAGUUCAAUAUUUUUAUAUCAAGGAAGUUCAUCUCCCUUUUAUUUUUUAUUAA